GAUGAACGCUGGCGGCGUGCCUAAUACAUGCAAGUCGAGCGAACGGACGAGAAGCUUGCUUCUCUGAUGUUAUCGGCGGACGGGUGAGUAACACGUGGAUAACCUACCUAUAAGACUGGGAUAACUUCGGGAAACCGGAGCUAAUACCGGAUAAUAUUUUGAACCGCAUGGUUCAAAGGUGAAAGACGGUCUUGCUGUCACUUAUAGAUGGAUCCGCGCUGCAUUAGCUAGUUGGUAAGGUAACGGCUUACCAAGGCAACGAUGCAUAGCCGACCUGAGAGGGUGAUCGGCCACACUGGAACUGAGACACGGUCCAGACUCCUACGGGAGGCAGCAGUAGGGAAUCUUCCGCAAUGGGCGAAAGCCUGACGGAGCAACGCCGCGUGAGUGAUGAAGGUCUUCGGAUCGUAAAACUCUGUUAUUAGGGAAGAACAUAUGUGUAAGUAACUGUGCACAUCUUGACGGUACCUAAUCAGAAAGCCACGGCUAACUACGUG
rnacentral:rRNA from 1 species